UACGUAGGGGGCAAGCGUUAUCCGGAUUUACUGGGUGUAAAGGGAGCGUAGACGGUGAGACAAGUCUGAAGUGAAAGCCCGGGGCUCAACCCCGGGACUGCUUUGGAAACUGCCUGACUGGAGUGCUGGAGAGGCAAGCGGAAUUCCUAGUGUAGCGGUGAAAUGCGUAGAUAUUAGGAAGAACACCAGUGGCGAAGGCGGCUUGCUGGACAGUAACUGACGUUGAGGCUCGAAAGCGUGGGGAGCAA
rnacentral:rRNA from 1 species